UAUUUUGAACCUGAAAUAUUUUUUUACAGACUUAAUCUUGAAUAGAUUUAUUGUACAUGGACUUAUUCUUGCUUAUAAUUAUUGUCAAAUAGAAAAAUUUUUCCCAUACAAAUAUUCCCUAGAAAUGUAUUCAAUAGAAAUGUCUAACAUGGAGUUAUUUACAUAGAGAUGUUUCGUGUACGUUUGUCAUUAUAUACGGGUGAAAUACAUGUCGCCGACUGUACUAAAAGUACGUAUGUUUACGUAGAUCUGUUUUAUUUUUUCCUGGUAUAUGAAAUAACAGAAGCAUAAUUACGAAAAUUAAUGAAGAUGUUACUCUGAUGAGAAAUUUGAAUUCGAAAGAUAAUUUGUCUAUAAAAGCCGCUUUAUGAACGCUAUCUGCAGUAUAUUUAUAGAAUUAAAUGAUGUUACACGCAUCACCUCACAAUCAAUAGUCAUUGUCAGUGCACGCAUACAGAGUACAGAACGUGAGUGGUUAACGCAAUAUCGAUGCCCUCUUUAGACCUAGAUGCUAAAUAAAACUUAAAAUAUUUCAGUAGUUUAUGUUUAUUAAUCAUGAGUUUUACCACGUUUUGAGAUAACCCUCAGUUAAAGUGGAAUACAAUCAUUCAUGGUAAGAA